rnacentral:lncRNA from 1 species
AGUUUGUCCCAAUCACUUUUUAGAUUUUGUUUUAUAUAAGAGUUGAGAAUUAACUUCUUUUCAUCUGCAAACAUAUUUACUUUAGGUUUAGAAGAACUUUUUGAUGAAGAAGCAUUUUCAUCCGCAGACAUAUGUAUUUUCGGUUUAGAUGGACUUUGUGAUGCAGAAGUGUUUUCAUCUGCAGCCAUAUGUACUUUUUUUUGUUGGUUAAGACAGACUUUUUGAUGAUGAAGUAUUUGAAGGGUUUCCGCCACAAGUUAUCUGAGCCCCAUCGUCCAUUCUCUGUUGUGGGAUGAAUUGAACUUUAGGUUUCGUUCUAGUUCCGUCGUCACCUGAUGGGGUUGAUUUCGAUAUCAUAUGUUCAUCUACGAGCGUUCUGCAAAAUAUAUGGGUACAAGUGUAUCAGCUUCAUUGCAAUACCGUUUAUUCAAGUGCUUAAUAUUUCUAUAAAACUGUUUGACUUACAAAGCCUGUGAACACUUAAGGAUGUUCGCUCCUCUUGCUUUUGAAUUUUUGUCAGAUAUUCGGAAUUCUCU